CUCCUCCUCUUCCUCUUCCUCUUCCUCUUCCUCCUCCUCUUCCUAUUUUCUGCAGCAUGGAGGAGAAAAGCCAAACAGAGCAUGGAGGUGGAAGUGUGGAUACUGAAUGGAAAGAAGUCAAAUUCACCAGCAGAACAGAAUGGCGGCUGCUAUGGGCUGAUGGUACGGAGGAUUGGGGAGAAGUUCGUGUUUAAUGAGGACAGAGUCACAGUUUGGAAUGGUGAAAUGUUUGGAAAAAGGAUGGUGUAGGUU
rnacentral:miRNA from 14 species